GCGAUCUGUCUUGUGAAUGCUACGUGUGGAGGGAUACUAUUUCUUGCAUUGACUGUCCCUGCACUUCUUAAGGGACUGCUGAAGGGGUUGCUUAAGGUGGAGGAAUGGUGUGAGGCAUGCGCCGCAAGCUGCGGUGGCUUCUUUCGCUUCAUGGGCUUCAUUUUCAGCUACAUUUUCAGCCUUCACGAGGACUGAACUGGGUUCGGGGAGAACUGCUUUGCCGACGAAAACUGAUACAUUUGUCCACUGAAACGAAGUUGUGUAACGAUAUGGCCACCUGAACGAUCAGGAUAUGUCGCCGGUGUGCACUGUUUGCAAUUUGUCCCGAAAUUUUGUAAUGAUAUGGGCCACCUGACGAUCAGGAUAUGUCGCGCUGUGUGCACUGUUUGCAGUUUUAUUCGUACCCAUUAGGCUUUAUUUCUCACUUUGUAGGAGACAAGUUUAUAGCGCAAUGGUAGAACCAUAUAUGGGUCAUCCGGUUCGAUGUUAUAUGCUGCAAUUUGCUUAUAUCUCUGCCAAAAAGUUAUGUGUUUGGGGUGCAUUCUUUCUAUAAUUACGCCCGGAUUUGGCUUGUUUUGUUUUUCUCUCCUGUUGCCAGGUUGUUUGUUCGCAUGGUCUGAUGGUUGCUGCAUUUUCAAUGCAGCUGACCUUUCACUCUUGUAUCUGAAUUUGUUUUUUCAGACUUUGCCCUGUCUUGAAAUGCAUGAGAUAGAAAGUGAUAUACUUCCUCCGUCCAAUAAUAUAAUAGUGUUUUUUAUACUACACUAGUGUCAAAAACAUUCUUAUAUUAUGGGACAGAGUGAGUACCUUUCUAUUAAAAAAAAUAAAGUGCGUAUUUUAUUAAUUCAUCGUGAACCCCUCAUAUGUCAGUUUUGGAUGGAAGCUAUUAAAGCUGGCGUGACAAAUGGUUGUGGAGGUAGGUAAGUAACAGGGCCUAUCUCCAUUUGUGCCUCAUCGUUGCAGCAUGGGUAAAUGGAGACUGCUUUUAGCUGCGUCCACGGGGAAGACCCCUUAAUUAUCAUUCAAUAACCAAAGUGAGGAUAAAUAGUAGUGGUGCAUGUGAUAGGAGCUGCCGUGUGUAUGCGUGUAUCUGUACUUGGCUUCGCCCAUAAAUAGAAACAUAUAAAGUGGUUUAGGAAUCCGACGCAUCAUGCUUAGGCAUCGGUUGUGUAGACACAUACUAGUGGGGAAUCCAGACUCCUAGGAAUGCUUUAGUCCUAUCGAUUUCAAGAACCGUCAUGGACUUCCUGCAUUACUUUACUUUAUUUUUGCAAGUUUGCUUCACUGUUUGCUAUAAUUACCCAAUACCUUUAUCUCGCACCAACUUGCUUUGGAUCGCAUUUAACUUUCAGGCAUUGCUAUCUAAAUCCUUCAAGAGACAAAGACCGAUUCCCGUGCUUCCUAUGUGAUCGAUACUCUUACUUCCAAAAAGUUACAACUAAUCCUUGUGCACUUGCAGGCCAUCAACGAGUUGUCACUGCCUCAUCAUGACCACGAUCUGCCAUUGAUGGUGUCCCAGCUAGGGGGGUUCUCAUCACAUCGACUCCCAACCCAGGCCGGGCUGUGGACCCCUUGUCGGUUUCGACCUAGGCCACAUUGGGCGGCCAAGGGAAUAUAGUUCAGAAGCUCCAGAAGACUUGACGUAUACUCUAAGAAGCUGGAUCCAUGGAGGACUCUGGCUCCAUGUACGUAGCUGACGAGGAUCAUGUACCCUAGGACCCCCUGGGUAUCUUGUAUAAACCGAGGGGUCAGGAUCAUAGAGAACACAUUAAACAUCACACAAUCUCGUAGUAGAUUACCUGUACUCUGUACUUACUCCAACACAAUAAACACAACCAAGACGUAGGGUUUUAUCUCAUCGAAGAACCCGAACCUGGGUAAAAUCUUGUGUCCUUGUUACCAUCGUUCCUAGAUGCCUAGUUUGGGAUCCCCUACCCCAAGAUCUGUCGGAUUUAGCUCCAACGGUGAUGGCCCAUACAGGUCCUAUGGGUUAUCGUCACAGUUUGAUGGGUGUCAAGAUCAACGCUCAGAUCAACACCGACACAAUCUUUAUGUUGGGUCAGAUGUUUGUCUUCCGCGGUGUCACCCUCGUCACCGACUCGGAUGGCCACCUCGGCCAGGGCGAGACCUUUGUUUUGGGUCAGAUCGUUAGGUUUGACAACAUAUACACCACAGAUAUCCACGGGGAUCUGGUCUUCUUGGAUCUGGCAUCACGCCAGCCUCAGGAACAACAUGAUCAGCUUCCCUUCAGCCCGACGCUGGAUUCAAUCAUUGAGUGUGAUAACCCCUUCUUGAGGUAGGUGAUGCACCUGAUGUAGCUGAAAUUUGUGGAUUGUUCAAGCUUGCAGGUUUAUGUGAGGAUGGAGUUAAGAAGAAAGUAUUCCCUUUAUCUUUGGGGAAAAGGAAUUAUCUUGGUAUAGGCUAUCGGAUGAUAUUGGAACAUGGUACUGGAACAGAUUGAAGCUGGAAUUCCACCAGAAAAUUUAUCCUAUGCAUUUGGUUCAUCAUGAUCGAAAUUAUAUAUAUAUAUAAUUUUUAGCCUCGCGAAGGAGAAGUAUCGCUCAACCUUGGGGUAGGCUUACAUCUAUGAUCCACACCUACCCCAAUCAUGAGCUCUCAAGAGAAAUGAUAUUACAAAACUUUUAUGCUCGACUUUCUAAGGAUGAUAAAGCAAAGCUUGACACUUCUUCUUCUGGUUUUUUAAUGAAGAAAACUAUUGAAUUCAAAUGGGAUCUUAUUGAAGAAUUAAAGGCAACUCUAAAAAUUGGGAAAUCGACACGGGUAAUGAGUCAGGUAUGAAUCUUGAAUAUGAUUGUGUUGAAUCUUGUAUAUGAUUGUGUUAAAUCUUUCAUAGAAACAAAUGCUUUCCGUAAGUUCAGCACAAAAUAUGGACUUGACUCUCAGACAGUAGCUACUUUAUGUGAAUCUUUUGCUGCUCAUAUUGACCUCCCUAAGGAGAAGUGGUUUAAAUUUCAUCCACCUAUUGAAGAAAUUUGUAAAGAACCUAUUAUAGCUAAAGCUAAAAAAAUUAUUUAUAAUGUUAAUCCAGUUGUGCCUACUACUUAUAUUGAGAAACCCCCUUCCCCUGUUAGGAUUAAGGAACAUGAUAAACCUACAACUGUGGUUAAUAAGAGGAAUGUUGAAACACCGAAACCUCCUGAACAAAUUAGAGUGGAACCUACUGUUGCAAUGAUCAAAGAUCUUUCAGUUGAUAUUAUUGAUGGACAUGUUAUUUAUUUCUGUGACGAAGCAACUAGGAUUGCUAAGCAAGAUGCGUUAAAUAAGAGCAAACCUGUAGUUCGCAAGCCAGUUGUCUUUGUUAAAAUUGGAGAUCAUUGUUAUCAUGGUUUAUGUGAUAUGGAUGCUAGCGUAAGUGCUAUCCUGUUUACUUUAUAUCAAGAAAUUACGCAUGAUAUUGCAACUGUUGAGAUAGAAGAUAUUGAUGUUACUAUUAAGUUUGCAAACAUGGAUACUAUUUCACCACUAGGGAUUGUUAGAGAAGUUAAAGUCUUGUUUGGUAAGAUCAAAUACCCUAGUGAUUUUUUAGUACUUGGAUCACCACAAGAUGAUUUUUUCCAAUUAUACUUGGUAGAACUUUCUUGAACAUUAUUGAUGCUAAAAUUGAUUGUUCUAUAGAGACAAUUAGUGUUAAUUUCGGUGAUGUAUCUCAUGAAUUUAACUUCUCCAAGUAUAGUAAGCAACCUCAUGAUAAAUGAUUGCCUAGUAAAGAUGGAAUCAUUGGUCUUUCUUCUAUUGUUGUGCGUCCCACUGACUCAUUAGAACAAUGUUUACUAGACCACAAAAAUGAUAUGCAUAUGCCUGAAACAAAUGAAAUAUUAUUUAAGCAAGUACCUAUCCUUAAACACAAUUUACCUAUUCAAUCUUUGGGAGAUCCUCUCCCACCUAAGAGUGAUCCUGUGUUUGAAUUAAAGAAGUUGUUUGUGAUGUCUAUGAUACGUCCAUUUUGCAUCAUGCUUUUAUAUUGAUAUUUAUUGCAUUAUGGGCUGUUAUUACACAUUAUGGUACAAUACUUAUGCUUUCUCUCUCUUAUUUUACAAGGUUUACACAAAGAGGGAGAAUGCCGACAGUUGGAAUUCUGGACUGGAAAGGAGCAAAUCUGAGAGACCUAUUAUGCACAACUCCAAAAGUCCUGAAAAUUUACGGAGAAUUAUUUUGGAAUAUAUAAAAAAUAUUGGGCGAAGAAAAUACCAGAGGGGACCCACCAGGUGGCCACAAGCCUGGGGGCGCGCCCCUGUGGCUUGUGGGCCCCCUGGCAGGCCUCCGGUGCCCAUCUUCUACUAUAUGGAGGAUUUUGACCUAGAAAAAAAAAA
rnacentral:lncRNA from 1 species